rnacentral:pre_miRNA from 1 species
CAAAGUGCUCACAGUGCAGGUAGUGUUGCCAGAUCUACUGCAGUAUGGGCACUUCUAGU